rnacentral:tRNA from 2 species
AGCUUUGAAGCACUAAAACCAAUUGUCUUUUAACCAAUUGGUCGUAGGUUCGAAUCCCACACGACCCACCA